GCCGACGUAGCACAGCCGGUAGUGCAACGCACUCGUCACGCGUAGGUCGUUGGUUCAAGUCCAAUCGUCGGCA
rnacentral:tRNA from 1 species